CGCCCAAUCAGCUUCCUGCUCCUUCACCGUCCACGUGUUCCUCCAGCCAAUCACAAUCUCGCUCCCAGCUGUCCCUCAGCUGACUCUCCCCUCACUCACAGCUGCCUCUCGCCCCUCAGCCGAGUUCCGACCCACCAGCCUUCAGCUGCGCCUUUCCCACAGGGACUUCUGACCAUCAAGAAUAUACCAACUCCAAUUUUGAACUCAAAACUUCAUUGUCUACAAACUACAGCUUUAAAUGACAUCACUCCAGGCCAUAUGCUGAUUUAAUCUACAGUGCUGCAAUCAAACUAAAGAUCAAAUAUAAAGCAUGGUGUUUAUUGACAGAAAAAAGGAAUUGAUUUUUUCCAAAUGACAAUGUGGAAAUCUGUAAAUGGAAAAGCUAAUGCAUGUUGUUUUAAUUUCAGUUUCCUUUAAUGCUUAUGACCCCCUCUAGUCUUCAUAUACUAGACA
rnacentral:lncRNA from 12 species